AAAAAAGAAGAAGAAGAAAGAAAGAAAAAAGGAAAAGAAAAGAGAGAAAAAAAAAGGAGGGAACAAAAUUGAAAUAUCGCGCUGUCAAUGAACGAUGCAAUUUCAUUCUCGAUCGAGAAAGUCUCGUAAUGGUGAUUUAAAUAAACACGAUGAAUAUCGUGUCGUGGAAUGAAACGAAGGAAGAAAGUCGAUGACGAGAUACGCUUUGCAAGAUCGAGAGAGUGCGAGAGAGAGAGAGAGAGAGAGAGAGCUAAGCACGAAAAAAGAUCGCGAUCUUUGCCGUGUAAGUAUGUAAAUAGAUAUGCAUGUUGGUUCGUAACUACGUAUGCAUAUAUAUAUAUAUGUACAUAUGUAAGGUAUAAAUGUAUCGGCGUACGCGAUGUAUACGGUCUAUACGUGUACAAUGACGUAGUGAGAAUUAUCGCGUAUGAAUGUGGAGCAUUAUCGGCGGUAAACCAAUCGAAGAGAAAUCGUGUGCGUUUAUGUGUUACUACGCGACUCUCGCGACCGGCUCGAUCAACCGAACGAACGCGUGAAUGGAACUGGUGUGUUGUUGUUGUGUAGUGGUAGUGGUAGUGGUAGUAGUGGUAGAGUAGUAGUAGUAGUAGCAGUAGUAUGGUGGUGGUAGUGGUAAUGGUGGUGGUGGAGUGCUGAAGCUAGAAGGAAAAAAUAUGAAUGAAGUCGUGGUAGUGACAGUCGCGUACGUACGGGCUUUACGUUCUUAACGCGCAUGCGUCCUGACGUAACGCACGUAGCACGUGCAUCGUUCCGUGCCAUUCAGCGUGAACGCGUAAUGCUAUGCACGACACGACUACUUACAACGACGGACGGCUACACAACGACAAUGACGAUGACGACGACGACGACGACGAUAACGAUAACGACGACGACGACGACAACGACGACAACGACGAUGAUCGUCGAAGGUGAGAUCGAUGCAAAACUACCGACACGAAUACUUACGACGAUCAACUUUGAUGAUAUCUAUACACAACACCACACCCAAGACCAAGAUCAACGUAGACGACAACGACGAUUGCGAAUUAUGUCGACGUAAAAGUUUAACGUUGCAUUGGUAAUACGUAGACGAGUGAUAUAACAAAGGAUAAACUGUGCCUGUGUGAUACACUAAUGUUCGAAAUAUUCUGACAAUAAUAGGACAACUCGAAUGAUUAUAGAAUAUCUAGAAUCUAAGAGUGACCGUAUCGUUGAAGUAUGAGAAAGAGAGAUACGAUAGAAAACAUUCAAUUAAUAAAUUUAUCAUAAAUAGGUGAGGAAUUUGUUCUUAAUUCAUAUAAUCACAAAUUAUUUGAUAUACAUACGUAGAUAUUUAAUAAUUAUAAAUAUAUACUUGAUCAUGUCUUAAAGGAUAAUAAAUAAUUUUCUUAGUGGUUUCUCUUACGAGACAUCGACCGGUAGAGUUAUCUCUUCGUCUACGAAGUAAAGGAAAAUCGAUGGGGGAUAGUAGACGGCAUGGGAAGUCGAGGUAGACUUCCUAAGCGGGGAAUCAUCGAGGGAGGAAGCCCAUCCGUCCGGAGGGGCUUUCACAAAACCCUAUUCACUGGAUAAAUGAAUGAAGAUGAAAAAGAAAAAAAGAGAGAGAGAGACAGACAGAGACAGAGACAGAUAUAUAUAUAUAUAUAUAUAUGUAUAUGUAUAUAUGGACAGAUAGAUAAAGAUAGAUAGAUAGAUAGAUAGAUAGAGAGAGAAAGAGAGAAAGAAAAAAAAACCGAGCAAAACACACGACCCAUAAUUUAAUUAUAAUUAACUUCCGUCGAUAUAUUACAUUAUAUAAUUCAAUCGUGCCCACGCAAUAACGCUCCUUUUCCGGCAUAACUUGACUCGCCUGGUAUUAACGCGUGGAGGAGUUAGAAAGAGAAAGAGAAAGAAAGAAAGAAAGAAAGAAAGAAAGAAAGGAAGAAAGAAAGAAUAGAUGAAGUAGUUCAAGAAACAUGUAAUAUACACGUCAACGAGUUUUUGUUAAUCCUUUUAAACGAAAUUAAUUAUGCGUACUUAAAUAAUAUGAAAUAUUACUUUCAAGUGUAUCUAUAAAGUUUA